rnacentral:lncRNA from 1 species
UUUCUCACUCUCCUGUUUAAGUUAGAUUUUCCUGGUUCAUGAGUGAAUUAUCUCCACGAUCCAGGGAAGUAGAUUUUUCCAUCUUGUACUUUUCCAUCACUUUCAGCCUUUUGUUGACUGGAUCUUGCUAGAGGAAAGAAUGAGAGAUGUUCUGCAGUGGCCAUUUUAAACAGUCAGACCCUACCCCAUCAACCCAAAAGUGAAGAGCUUUCACAGCGAGCUUUGGUACCAUAUUGACCCCUGGCUGUUCCUACUGGGGCACAUGUGUUGUGCAUAUACAAAGCUACCAACCAGUUUUGCUUAGGAGAUUGACUUUUGCUUGUGAUGAAAACCCUUGAAAGCAUGUUGAAAACAAAAAGGAUUUUUUUCUUAUUUUCUGAGGAAAAUAAGCAGAUCAUCUGAAGCCUUCAUCUGUGAUCCCAUGAUGCCACUCUGAUGGAGCAGGACCCAGCUACGAUCAUGGCCUCAGGGUUAAAGUCACACAUUACCAAUAUUAAGAAGAUCAUCUCACAUAAUAGAACUACCUGCAGAAGAAUUCUCUUUUUCACUGACCCCAUCUGA